rnacentral:rRNA from 1 species
AUUGAACGCUGGCGGCAUGCUUUACACAUGCAAGUCGAACGGCAGCACGGGGGCAACCCUGGUGGCGAGUGGCGAACGGGUGAGUAAUGCAUCGGAACAUAUCUUAAAGUGGGGAAUAACGCAUCGAAAGGUGUGCUAAUACUCCAUAUGCUCUAGCGAGGAAAGCGGGGGAUCGAAAGACCUCGUGCUUUAAGAGUGGCCGAUGUCUGAUUAGCUAGUUGGUAAGGUAAAGGCUUACCAAGGCGACGAUCAGUAGCUGGUCUGAGAGGACGGUCAGCCACACUGGGAAGUGGACCCGGCCCAGCAUCCUACGGGAGGCAGCAGUGGGGAAUUUUGGACAAUGGGCGAAAGCCUGAUCCAGCCAUGCCGCGUGAGUGAAGAAGGCCUUCGGGUUGUAAAGCUCUUUCGGUCGAGAAGAAAUGUCUAUGACUAAUACUUAUAGAAAAUGACGGUAUCGACAUAAGAAGCACCGGCUAACUACGUGCCAGCAGCCGCAGUAACAC